UACAGAGGGUGCGAGCGUUGUCCGGAAUCACUGGGCGUAAAGGGCGCGUAGGUGGCAACCCAAGUCGAUGGUGAAAGCUCGCCGCUCAACGGCGAGUCGGCCACUGAUACUGGGUUGCUGGAGCACUGUAGAGGCAGAUGGAAUUCCGGGUGUAGCGGUGGAAUGCGUAGAGAUCCGGAAGAACACCGGUGGCGAAGGCGGUCUGCUGGGCAGUUGCUGACACUGAGGCGCGACAGCGUGGGGAGCAAACAGG
rnacentral:rRNA from 1 species